GGGUGACAGGUGGUGCAUGGUUGUCGUCAGCUCGUGUCGUGAGAUGUUGGGUUAAGUCCCGCAACGAGCGCAACCCUCGACCUUAGUUGCCAGCAUUCAGUUGGGCACUCUAAGGUGACUGCCGGCUAAGAGUCGGAGGAAGGUGGGGAUGACGUCAAAUCAUCAUGCCCCUUAUGACCUGGGCUACACACGUGCUACAAUGGGCGGUACAAAGGGUCGCGAACCCGCGAGGGGGAGCCAAUCCCAAAAAGCCGCUCUCAGUUCGGAUUGCAGGCUGCAACUCGCCUGCAUGAAGCCGGAAUCGCUAGUAAUCGCGGAUCAGCAUGCCGCGGUGAAUACGUUCCCGGGCCUU
rnacentral:rRNA from 1 species